UUGUUUUUGUCAGUGAAAGGUCAGAGUUCGUGACCCCGGUGCCGCUGCCGCCGCCGCCCGCGCGCUGGUAGGAGGAGGGCGAAUGUUCUUCUUCCUCUUCCCAGCGCCAGCCUCGCUGCGGCCGCGGGGGGCGGGCGAGCACGCGAUUGGCUGAGCCGCGCGCGCGCACCGGAACGCCGCGGCCGGCACUGCUUCCUCCGGCCCCUGGCGGGCCGGGCGGCGGCGGCGCGGGGCGGAUGCUUGGGGAAGCGCUGUCGGUCCCGAGGCCUGGAGACGGCACUCGGUCGACACUGCGGUCAGACGAAAAUGGAACUUAAACGGCGCGCCGCCACUGUGCCUAGGGUAAAGGGCCGCUUGGUCGUCUUAAAGACCUGGGGACGCGGGACCCCGUUAUUCAGGUGCAAGCACGCCCCUCGGGGGAACGGAGCGGAGCGGGGCGGAGGCUGCGUUCUGGCCGUGACCGCCUCCGCCGAGGCCUCCCGCCGAGCUGAUGGAAGCAGCAGUCGCACCGCAGAGCGACUGUAGGUCGGAAGAAGGGGGUGGUUUAUUGCGUGGGCUUGGGCCCUACUGCACAUACAGGACUUUUUAUUUAGGUUUUAAAGGUCCGAGGAUGCACCAGCUUCUGGUAGUAUCAGAUAAAGUGUUGAAACCCUUCGCUACCUAUUAUUUGGGGUCUCUUAGUGACCGUGUGAUCCACAUCUUGAGUCUGCUCUUUCCCUCGCGGUUUGGAGCUUGUAAACGAUGGUACAGGAGGAUGUGCAGCCCUGGCCGUGCGUGUGGCUCAUGCUGACAGCGGCCUCCCAUGCACCCGAGAGGUCGGGGCACGUGCAGGGGGCAACCAAUGGAUGUUUCUUUCUCCCUCUCCCUAAAAUAAGUAAAUCAAUAAAAUCAGUAAAAAUCUUCUGGUGAGGAUUAAGAAAAAAAGUAUAUAUAAAGCAACUCUUUGCAAAAUAGGUUAGGUAGAUAAAGGAAGUUGCUUCUCUUGACCCUGUGAAUCCCUUAGAUAUUUCUCUUAAUUUAUGGUUUUGACUUGCUUUGGAGGGUGCAGACCACUGAAGUGUUUAGGCUGGACUCUCCUCGAUCAUCAUUCUUUGUAGGCCAGCGAUCCUCUGCUGAUUGAUUUGUUUUCUUGCACUUUUCUUGUCUAUUAUGAAUGAAUACUGUCUCCAAGAUGGAUAGGUUAAUCUUUUAAACAGCCAUUUGGGCUUUUAUCAGGUUGACCCCAACUUUGAGUAUUUUGUCCUUAAUCUUACAAUAUUUCUAUCUGAUAGGAAAUGCUUUAAACACAUCUAUUUUCCCUUCUUCCUUGUUGUCACCUUGCAAGAAAGUAAGUGGGAAAAACAAUUAAAUUUUGUAAUUUCAUGGUAACAUGUUCCUGAAGCUGGAAGGGGCCUCAAGAAAUGAUAUGGUCAAAUCCUCUUAUGGCAGGAAGAUUUUACAGGAGGGAAGGAUAAGGACCAGAAAGUCAAGUGAUAGGCCUAAGCAACGGGCACUUAUGAGACGGACCAGGGAGGAUAUGUCUACUUGUUUAUUGUAGAUUAAAAUCAUAGACGAAACAGUGGAUCUGACAGGCACGCGCAUGCCAGGUCCAGACAUUGAAAUAUUUAAUCCAUCAUCUACAUCUUGUAAAUAAUAAAUCCACUGUGGUUUACAUACAAUGUUUAAUGCCCGACGAAUUAAUUCAAGAUACUGGUGGAGGUGUUGAACCAGAACCAUUAGCCCUCCAUCCUCAUUGACUUCCCUGGACCAUUCUGUUUCUCCUCUCCUGGAUUGUCCUGAAUGUAGAGGAAACUCCUCUCUCUAUAGCUUCUAAGCAAUCCAGUGCACUUACAACCACAAGUUUAAAUAGAGAUUCUGACACCGGGCAUACAGCUGGACAGAGAUCAGAAGAUCUAUAAGGUUUGCAACAGGUCUCCCCUAGAUCAAUAGGAAUAUUAUUUUCCAUCAAACACAUGGUGUGAAACCCUCCACAAGGCCCCUGAACUGAAAAUACAUCAUCGAGUGGCUUGUAGUGAAUUGCGCCAGCAAUUACUCCUGCAUGAUCAUAAUAGAAUCUUGCAGAUUGAAGGGUGGCAAGUGAUAAUUGUGUCAGGAGGUUUGCAGAAACUGCUCCACACAAGUCUGCACAUUCUGCUUGUUCAAUAACAGUAGGAUCACCCAUAGUGUGUACCACAACCUUUGUAACAUGACAAACAUCAACAAUUACUUCAACAGGAGUAUCUUUGGAGACAACAAUAAGUUCAACCCUUUUGUAAGCAACUAAAGCCUUAAGCAAAUGGGAAAGAUGCCAAAACUGAGAUAAGGGAAUUGAAUGAAUAGUUGAGUGCAUUUGGCAACUUGCUCCUCUAAUAAAAGACACCAUCUCUUUAACAUCACUUCUCCAUUUUCCUGCCUUAACAAGCGGCUUAAGCAUCCCGAUAAGGGAGUCAGUAUCUGUGAUGAAGAAACUUCACACUCGAUCUUGUCGAGCUUCAUUCUCUCAUAACCUUCAUUACUUCUGGGACUGGAAUGUUAAUCCAGCAAGCAAUAACUUUGCAAUGAGCGCAUUUUGUAAUGAUGUCCUUGCAGGCAACAACUUGCUUAAAAUUCCAAUUUUUGAUGCAGGGUCAAAUAUUUGAUUCCCGUCUGAUAACGAGAACAUGACAUCGCAUGUUCAUCGAAGUGUAGGAGAGGAUGUUGGUAUGUAUGCAACUGCCUUUAAGUAGGAUGACACCGGUCUAACCAAACUCCUUCGUAGGCUGCCUGCAUACCAGAAAGAUACCAUUAUUAGGUGUCCUGGUAGAGGUUCUAAAUGGCUCAGCGAAAAUCUCUCUAAAUGACAUGGUGAUUCGCCCGAGUCAAGUAAUGAAUCUAACUCACGGGAUUCCUGGUAUAGUGACAUGAAAAUUUCUACUCCUAGCUUAAAGCCUGCUGCAACAUCUGGGUCUCCAUACCAGCUAGUGCAGCGGUUCUCAACCUGUGGGUCGUGACCCCUUUGGGGGUCAAACGACCCUUUCACAGGGGUCGCCUAAGACCAUCCUGCAUAUCAGAUAUUUACAUUACGAUUCAUAACAGUAGCAACAUUACAGUUAUGAAGUAGCAAUGAAAAUAAUUUUAUGGUUGUGGGUCACAACAUGAGGAACUGUAUUUAAAGGGCCAGAAGGUUGAGAACCACUGUGCUGAAAAGUGAUCUAUUGGAAUCCCCUUAUACAUGGGAGGUCUUGACAAGGAAAAGAAGUCUUCUUGAAUUUCUCUUGUGCAACCUGAGCACAAAAAUGUAAGGUAAGUUUUAUUUGCAAGGAUUCCGAAGUGUAAUUGGGAAGAUAACAAGUUAAGUCUGUGUAGGAAAGCGGCCUGAAAUGGAUGGUAUAAUCUUUUUGUGAUUUGUCAAAGUCAGUCAUGUAGUUUGUGGUAAAACCUACAUGUGUAGAUAAAACAUUCAAGCUACCAGCAAGUCCAGCUUGAUCAUCAGAGGCCUGGGAGCCUGUGAGUAAGGGUGCCACCCAUUAUUACAGGAAGAUCAGGUGUGUGGACACCUUUUUCACUCAACAAAAUAGAUAGUAAUCUUGCUAAGUGUUGUCCUACAGCACCCUUGAUUUUAAUCCAGUCACAAGUUGGUAUUAAAUCUUCUGCCAUCUUGCCAAUGCGGCCUUCUGGUAGUCCUGUAAUUGCACCUCUGUUUAUUUUCACAAAUGUUCAUGAGCCAAUGUAAAGAGGGCGUUUUCCUCGUACCAUCCACUCCCUUGGAAACAAGUUGUUACCCAGUCAAAAUAUUAUUGACUGUGCAACCUCAAGCUCAGAUACUGUUUCUCAAUGCAAAUUGUUCAGCAAUGAAUGGCAUAGUUACUCCAUGAAGUACACACCCCCAUGUUGCUAUCCGCAAUUUAUUAGCUCCUUCAACACUACACGGAGUUAAGUAAUCAAUGAUGUUUAAUCCUCUUGUAUUAGGAGCUAAGAUACUUCAUAUGAGCUGAUCUUUAAAUCUUUUGCUUUCUUCCGUAAUGGAUCUCACUGACAUGCUUUGACUGAUUCCGAUUACUGUGCUUGAUUUUUGGAAUUUAUCCAACAUGGAUAAGCCAUAUGCCGCAUUGCUCUUAGUGAAUAAGUAACUCAUUAACCUCGGGUAUUUCGGUUCCAUAUUGAAUAAGUCGUAUUGUGGCGCACACGGAGCGACGUAAGAAGAUAAGCUUAGCCUGUUUGUCUUUUAAUAUCACUGAUUUCUUCAUGUAUAUUCUUUAAUUCUUUGAAAACAUUGUCUGUCUUUUCCUCAAGAGCUUUAAGUUGUGGUCCAGGUGAUUCAGAGGGUCUUUUCAGCACCUCCACCAGUUGGAGCAGUGCGCUCCGGAUGCUACACCCUGAUUCUGCCGACUGAGUUUGAGCCACUGACAGCAUCCCCUGAACUUGGCUGACAGUUUGUUCCAUUGUCAUCUGGUCCAGUGUUACAGACUCCUUGUGGCUGCUAAUUCCGUUAUCUCCAUUGUCUCCUUGCGAGAUGUGCCUUCUUUGGCCUCUUUUCUGGCUUCCGUCCUGUUUGUGUUUUUCUUGUAAAGAUCUCCUCUGCUUCGCUCCUGCUCUCGUCCUCGGAGCUGAGCUGGACAUCGUCCUGAUCACUGUCUAGCAAUCUGUCAGCAAUUAUUUCGAGUGUGCUGAUGCGGACUCUCAGCGACAUCGUGUCAUGUUUUUUAUUGGUUACUGGUUUAUGGCCUAGUCCUUAAUUGCGUCUGAGAGCUUCGGUUAACGUGAGCAAUGCGGCUUCUAGGCUCACUGGCACAUUGCCUUGAACACUAUUGGUUGCUUCGUUGAUUUCUUGAUCUGUGGCUCUGAAGACAGACUUCAACCCGUCAGCAUCUGCAGAACUUAUCAUCUUCUUUUUCAUGGGAGGUUGUGCAACAGCAUCCUCAACUUCUCGAUCAGUCAGUGAUAACAGUGAUUCUUCAGUAGAUUUGUAAUCAUGGAAUGUCUUGUCGAUUCUUCUUUUUCUCGUGUUCUCGACCUUGCAAAGAUUAGGGAAAUUGACCGGUGCAAGCCUUUCAUGGCCAGGGAGCCGAAGAGCGUUAUGGUAGGGGAACAUUGUAUCCCCAUGUUGCUCUCGCAAGGCCUUCUCUGCAUCCGUAAAGGCUUUGAUCUUGCUGCCAACACCUGGAAGCAUGGACGCUCUUGACAAGCCUUCAUUCACAAAUGCCUUCAUAGCAAGGGCGUCAUUUCUGCAUAGGAUGAAAUGAGGUUGAUCUGUGCAAUGAAUGCCUUCCUGGUAGGCCCUACUGUACUAUGGUUCUCCAUAUUCAGUAACGAGCCAAGGAUGAUGGUGUCAAGUCCUUUGGAGGACAGCCAGGAUGCUGCUGCUUUUAAAUCAAACGUAGGAUCUAUAUCAACCACUGGUGGUUGGACCCCAGGCUUGACUGUAGAGUAUAAUGCACUGAAUCUUCUUCUAAUUUGAGCCAUGGGGUUUUGUUGAGGUUUGCAAAUCAUGUGGUACAUGAUACCCAAUGUGCAUUUGAUGAUGCAGUUCACAAUUUCCAUUGUAGGCUUAGCUCCUGAUGGAGCCCAAGGUUGUAAAUUUCCGCGGGUGUUGGGAACUCCUCUGUCUUCAUGUAUAUAAGCAUCGAAGGGUCUUCCAUCUAUCUCAUAUAACUGCGGGAAAACAGCAAAAAGGAACCCUGUGCCCACAGCAAUGCUUCCUCCUAUAAUCAUGGGAACAAUGUGCUUGGGCGCAUUACCCCAACGGUCGAAGCACUUAUGACCAGCUCUCUGGACAGGAGGUGGAUAGCCUUAUCCUCUAGGUCCCCAUCUCCAGAGGCAAUGACAUUGUGUCCUUCCUUUUUAUUUUCAUAGGAAGGCUUAAUAAUUACCUUCAUAAGUACUUUUGUACAUCUUUGUAUCAAUUUUUCUGUAAUAGCUUAUGCUUUAUUGCUAUAUAUAGUAAUAUUUUGUGAAACUUCUGUUUAUAUCAUAUAAUUAUGACAUAAAAUAAACUUUUAAACCUCC